AAAGAGAGAGAAGAGAAAGAUAAACGAGUUCUCGUAUUUAAUCACCAAUCUUUUCUCUUUUCCUCUCAUCACCUCUCUCCUCCUCUUUCUCUUCCUUUCUCUCUCUCCUCUCACUCUCUCUUUAAUAAUUAGGGGUUCAAGCUGCAAGCAAAAAAAAAAGCAAUCAAAUUUCUUUUCCCUUUCCUUCU
rnacentral:ribozyme from 13 species